AUUGAAUAUAUCGGGUAAUCGGAUAUUUUUAGCUGACAUUUUGGGUAUCCGAUUGGCCGGAGUCUACUGUCAUGACUGUACUACCAUAAAGAUAAUAAAUAGUAUUUUUUUUCCACUAAUUUAUUGACAUAAUACUUGUUGUAACAUAUUAUAUUUUUGUAUGCUAUUAAAUCAUUUAAAGGACAAUGUACUAUUUUUUUUCUCA
rnacentral:lncRNA from 1 species